rnacentral:rRNA from 1 species
UACGUAGGGCGCAAGCGUUGUCCGGAAUUAUUGGGCGUAAAGAGCUCGUAGGCGGUCUGUUACGUCCGCUGUGAAAGCCCAGGGCUUAACCCUGGGCUUGCAGUGGAUACGGGCAGACUAGAGGCAGGUAGGGGAGAAUGGAAUUCCCGGUGUAGCGGUGAAAUGCGCAGAUAUCGGGAGGAAUACCAGUGGCGAAGGCGGCUUCUUGGCCUGUUCUUGACGCUGAGGCGCGAAAGCUGGGGGAGCAAACGGG